rnacentral:rRNA from 1 species
AUUGAACGCUGGCGGCAUGCCUUACACAUGCAAGUCGAACGGCAUCGCGGGAAAGCUUGCUUUCCUGGCGGCGAGUGGCGAACGGGUGAGUAACACAUCGGAACGUACCGGCUAGUGGGGGAUAACCCGUCGAAAGACGGGCUAAUACCGCAUACGCUCUUCGGAGGAAAGCAGGGGACCUUUGGGCCUCGCGCUAGCCGAGCGGCCGAUGUCCGAUUAGCUAGUUGGUGGGGUAAAGGCCUACCAAGGCGACGAUCGGUAGCGGGUCGGAGAGGACGGUCGGCCACACUGGGAGUGAGACACGGCCCAGACUCCUGCGGGACGCAGCAGUCGGGAAUCUGGGACAAUGGGGGCAACCCUGGUCCAGUAAGGCCGCGUGUGUGAAGGAGGCCUUCGGGGUGUAAAGCCCUUUCGGCAGGUGAGAAAUCGGCGGGGCGAAUAACCCUGCUGGAUGACGGUACCUGCAGAAGAAGCACCGGCUAACUACGUG